ACCUGGUGACCUUUGAGGAUGUAGCUGGGUUUUCUACACAAGAGGAGUGGAGGCAGCUGGAUUCUGUCCAGGGGGAGCUUUAUAAUGAUGUGAUGCUGGAGAAUUAUGGGAACCUGGUUUCACUAGAUUUCAAGAAAAAAAUCGAAGGAUAUGAAUUUUUUUACUCUGUUUCUUCCUAAAGAAGUAAAAUUUCAUAGAAAAUAUCAGGAGAAUUCCCAAGAGAUGUUAACCAGGUCAGAGAGUUAGGAGAAGCCUCUGAGCUUAAUGACUGUUUAGAGAAAAAGAGAAGUAACACCAAUGGGGAGAGAUGUCUUCAGUCUGUUUACCUACAGAAAAGUUUCCAGAAUGUCACAGUCUUCUACAAGAAAACAGUUAUAGAGGAGAAAGGCAAAAAAUAUAAUGAAUUUGGAAAAACUUUUGGUUAUAUCCCCAAACUAGUUAUACACCAGAGAGAUCCUACAAAAGAAAGAAUCUACAAAGGUAAUACAUAUGGCCAAAGUUUUGCCCAGCCAUCUGCCCCUAUUCACCAUAAGAAAAUUUAUAGCGGAGAGAAGCACUUUAAAUGUGAUAAAUGUGGGAUGGCUUUCACUUAUAUGGCAGGUUUUAUUCAGCAUCAGAGUGUUCACACUGGAGAGAAAUCUUAUGAGUGUAAUGAAUGUAAGAAGGUCUUCUGUCGACAUUCAGUCCUUAUUUGACACCAGAAAACUCAUACAGGAGAGAAACCAUUUGAAUGUAAUGAAUGUGGCAAAGCUUUCAAUAGAAGUUCAGACCUUCCUAAACAUCAAAGAAUCACUGUAUAAUUGUAAAGAAUGUGAGAAAGCUUUUAGUACACAAUCAAGUCUUUGUGAACAUCAGAGAAUUCAGUGAGGAAAAGCCAUGUAAAUGUAAUGAAUGUGGAAAAUCUUUUAGUAGAACUUCAAAUAUAUCACAUCAAAGAAUUCAUACUAGAGAAAAACCAUAUGAAUGUAAAGAAUGUGGAAAAACAUUUAGUAGUAACUCGGGGGUUAAGAAACAUCAGAAAAUUCAUAAAGGAGAAAACCCUAUGAAUGUAAUAAAUGUGAUAAAAUUUUCACUCAUCUCACAGAUUUUAUUCAACACCAGAGAAUUCAUAGGGAAGAGCUUGAUGAAUAUCAUGAAUGUGGCAAGGCCUUCAAUUAUCCUUCAACUCUUACUAGACAUCAGAUAAUUCAUACCGGGGAGAAAACCUAUAAAUAUAAUGAAUGUGGAAAAUCCUUCACGCACUUUACAGGUUUUAUGCAUCAUCAGAGAAUUCAUACUGGUGAGAAAUCCUAUAACUGUAAUGAAUGUGGGAGAGCUUUCAGCAGAAACUCACUCCUUAUUCAACAUUGCAGAAUUCAUACUGAUGAGAAACCUUUUAAAUGUAAUGAAUGUGGGAAAACCUUCAGUUAACAUCAAAUGUUAGUCAGCAUCAAGUAAUUCAUAGUGGAAAGAAACCUUUCGAAUGCAGUCAAUGUGGAAAAGCCUUUAAUCACCAUUCACUCUUUAUUCAACAUCUAAGAAUCCAUACUGGAGAGAAACUAUUCAAAUGUAAUGAAUGUGAUAAAGCUUUUAGUAGAAGAUCAGCCCUACAAGAACAUCAAAGAAUUCAUCCUGGAGAGAAGCUAUAUGAAUGUAAAGAGUGUGGGCAAGCCUUCAUUUGGAGCUCUACCCUUAAUCAACAUCAGAGAAUUAACACUGGAGAAAAACCUUAUGAAUGUAAUAAAUGUGGGAAAACUUUCAAAAUCAUAUCUGGCCUUCCUUAGUAAACAUCAGAAAAUUCAUACUAUAGAGAAGUCAAGUGAAUGUGAUGAGUGUAGGAAAACCUUUAAUAGGAGAUCAAAACUUAUUCAACACCAGAGAAUUCAUAUUGAAGAGGAACCAUGUGAAUAUAAUACAUGUGGUAUAUAACCUUUACUUUCCAUUCACUUUUCAUUCAACAUCAGUGUAAUCACACUCAAGCCAAUUUGUAAAUACUAUGGAAAUAUAAAGGAGAACUCUGUUGACUGGUGUUCACCCAUAAUAAAUGAUAAAAUUUUUAA